GACGAACGCUGGCGGCGUGCUUAACACAUGCAAGUCGAACGGUUCUGUCGUUGGUCGACAGACGUCGGACGUUAGAGUGAAUGCAGGAUUCCAGGUCUAAGACCGGAGAUGAAUGCAGAUAUACCUGGCGACUGCCGCCUGUCGACUGACGACCGAAUAGUGGCGGACGGGUGAGUAACGCGUGGAUAACCUGCCCACAAGACUGGGAUAACGCCGGGAAACUGGUGCUAAUACCGGAUAAGUUCUUCGGGGUGCAUGCCCUGGAGAAGAAAGGGGAAACCCGCUUAUGGAUGGAUCCGCGUCCCAUUAGCUUGUUGGUGGGGUAACGGCCUACCAAGGCGACGAUGGGUAGCCGGCCUGAGAGGGUGGCCGGCCACACUGGGACUGAGACACGGCCCAGACUCCUACGGGAGGCAGCAGUGGGGAAUCUUCCGCAAUGGGCGAAAGCCUGACGGAGCAACGCCGCGUGAGUGACGAAGGCCCUUGGGUCGUAAAACUCUGUCUUCAGGGAAGAAAAAAAUGACGGUACCUGAGGAGGAAGCCCCGGCUAACUACGUGCCAGCAGCCGCGGUAAAACGUAGGGGGCGAGCGUUGUCCGGAAUUACUGGGCGUAAAGGGCGUGUAGGCGGCCCGUGAAGUCAGGAGUGAAAACUCGGGGCUCAACCUCGAGAUUGCUUUUGAAACCAGCGGGCUUGAGUGCAGGAGAGGAAAGUGGAAUUCCCAGUGUAGCGGUGAAAUGCGUAGAUAUUGGGAGGAACACCAGUGGCGAAAGCGGCUUUCUGGCCUGUAACUGACGCUGAGGCGCGAAAGCGUGGGGAGCAAACAGGAUUAGAUACCCUGGUAGUCCACGCCGUAAACGAUGGGUGCUAAGUGUUGGGGGUAUCGACCCCCUCAGUGCUGUAGUUAACGCAAUAAGCACCCCGCCUGGGGAGUACGGUCGCAAGACUGA
rnacentral:rRNA from 1 species